UAGGGAAUCUUCGGCAAUGGGGGGAACCCUGACCGAGCAACGCCGCGUGAGUGAAGAAGGUUUUCGGAUCGUAAAGCUCUGUUGUUAAGGAAGAACGAGUGUGAGAAUGGAAAGUUCAUGCUGUGACGGUACUUAACCAGAAAGGGACGGCUAACUACGUGCCAGCAGCCGCGGUAAUACGUAGGUCCCGAGCGUUGUCCGGAUUUAUUGGGCGUAAAGCGAGCGCAGGCGGUUAGAUAAGUCUGAAGUUAAAGGCAGUGGCUCAACCAUUGUAGGCUUUGGAAACUGUUUAACUUGAGUGCAGAAGGGGAGAGUGGAAUUCCAUGUUUAGCGGUGAAAUGCGUAGAUAUAUGGAGGAACACCGGUGGCGAAAGCGGCUCUCUGGUCUGUAACUGACGCUGAGGCUCGAAAGCGUGGGGAGCGAACAGG
rnacentral:rRNA from 1 species